UACGGGGGAGCAAGCGUUGUUCGGGUUUACUGGGCGUAAAGGGCGCGUAGGCGGCGCAACAAGUCACUUGUGAAAUCUCCGGGCUUAACUCGGAACGGUCAAGUGAUACUGUUGUGCUAGAGUGCGGAAGGGGCAACUGGAAUUCUCGGUGUAGCGGUGAAAUGCGUAGAUAUCGAGAGGAACACCUGCGGCGAAGGCGGGUUGCUGGGCCGACACUGACGCUGAUGCGCGAAAGCCAGGGGAGCGAACGGG
rnacentral:rRNA from 1 species